UUCACCAGCAGGCCGGACAGAAUACAUCCUAGAAUACUUAAGGAACAGGCUGAAGAGAUGUCUGAGUCAUUAGCAAUUAUCUUUGAGAACUCAUGGAGAGAGAGGAGAGAUCCCAGAGGACUGGACAAGGAUGUAAUAUGAAAAAACAUUCUGCCAGAUCAAUGCAAGAUAAAGGAAAUAAAUUGCAGCAUGUCAGAUGAAUUCUCAACAAAACAUGAAUCACAAACUACCUUCCUCUAAUUCAAGAAACCUGCUCAUGAGUGCUAAGGCAAGACACUGAUGCUGGAGUCUGCCUGAAAAGGAAGGGAGCUAAAACCUGAGCCCAAUAAAACGAAGAUUAUUUUGGUUUGUGUUUAUCUUGGACAUGGAGACUCUGCUAUCCUGGAAGCAGUUAAACUCUGUGACUUUGCUAAAGGAUAAGCCACAUUCAUAAACUGAAGUGUGCUGAAAACUAUGUUUGGAAAAGUGAGGCAGAACUGCUCUACUGCUACAUGAUGAGGGGAGACACAGGGACUGCAUUUGUGCCACAAGAAUGUUAUCACACCAUCUCUUCCAAAGACACUCUAAAUGAGAAUUGUUGUGGUGCAGAGAAGACAUUACAGCAAAACCCAGCUCCUUUUUCAGAGUCUCUGGAUGGAAAUCUGGGGAACACGACUUUAUCUUCCCCAGAUUAUUUUGAAUUCAAGACUACAGGAGGAGGAUGGCUUCAGUUCUGGACCAUCCAGAACAAACUUAAGUGUUCUUUACAUGUUGGAAAUGAAGCACAGGGACAGAUUAAUGUUCUUUAUUAAUGAAAGCUUCCUGGAAUCUCUUUGUAGUGGUUCCUCACACUUGAGAUCUCUUUGUAGUGGUCCCCCACUACUGGCAGACUGCAAGUAGCCAUCUUAUAGGGGAGAGUUCCAGCCCCUGAGCGGAGUGAAGUACAACAGUGUUUAGCCCACAACCACCUACCUGGGGCAGACAGUAAUUAACAGCCUAUAAUUAGUCUAUCAGGGAGCUCUGACUCUCUGGGUAGGGCAGAGACUCAAACAGUCUUUAGCUUAGCCCACAGCCAUGUGGCUGGGGCAGACAGCUACAGACAGUCUGGAGAUCUGUAGCAGUCUAGGGGCUCAGGCAGGGGGUGAGCGCCAACAUGGGUGGUCUAUGGUGAGGAGGCUGCACCCUAGAGGUGGAGUGGCAGGGGGUAGGAGUACAUGGUCCCACCCAACUCCACCGCGUCCCAGCCCAGGGUCCUAACAGUGGCAGAGUGGGAUUCCAGCUGCAACACGCUGACUCUCACUCUGGCAGCAGAACUGGACUAGAGUCUGAUCCCUGUGGGCUACUUCCUACCACCUUCUGUGUGUAGGCUCCCAUGGUCCAAAGAUUCCCUGUCUCCUCAUGGUCUUCGGCUAUUGGUAGCGCCAGCAGCUCCUCGGGGUCCUUGACUGCCUCCCCUGAUGGCAAGGUGUCGGUCCACUCUGGGGCUGGGUCGGCUCUUGCAGAGGCACCUGCUCCCUAGAAGAGACAUCCACUCUCUCCUGUGGCUCAGCAGCAAUUGAGCUCCAGCGCUUUCCUUUUCUACUUCCUGUCCUGCUCUGAUACUUCCUGUGAGGUGUGGGGGGGUGCAUUUGGCUCCACCCACCCAGGGGAGUGUAAUGGUUCCUCAGACUCCAGUUUGGAGGGAGGCCAUUCCGCCUCACUACACUCUUCUUCACAUCUAGUUUGCACUACACCUGAAUUUCUAACAUUAAAGAGAAUGGAUAAGCUUUAUUAGGUGCUUGCAUGAAAGUUCAGCUCUUUCCCCAGUGUCCUCCUAAAUGCCUGGUUUUAUCUAUUCUGUGACAGAAAACCAGUCAUGGCAGAGGCUUCCUAUGUAUACUUCAGGAAAAAGAAGUGAAGAAGCUACAUUUUAUUUAAUGGAAAAAUCUGUUUGUCAGUGUUACAACUCAAAGUCACUGAUUACUAAUAAUUGAUGCCAAAAUAUCACUUCAUUUUGGGGGCGUGUGUGUGUGUAAUAUACUGCCUAGUCUUCAUCAGCUCCAGAAGCCUAAAAGUAAUUUGUCUUUGUGAAAGAACAGGGCAACAAGACAUGUAUUGACAGUAUAUGUUGCAUUGCACACAGCUCAGUCUCUGGUUCUACUAUCACUAUAUAGCAGGGGUAGGCAACCUAUGGCACGUGUGCCGAAGGUGGCACGCGAGCUGAUUUUCAGUGGCAC